rnacentral:rRNA from 1 species
UCGCACGGCCAUACCAGCCUGGGUACGCCCGAUCUCGCCUGAUCUCGGAAGCUAAGCAGGGUCGGGCCUGGUUAGUACUUGGAUGGGAGACCGCCUGGGAAUACCAGGUGCUGUAAGCA